UGGUCUAGCCCAUGGUGCCAGCACCAUGCUCUUCUAUUCCUUUUUCAAGUCCCUUGUGGGCAAGGAUGUGGUUGUGGAACUCAAGAAUGACCUGAGCAUCUGUGGAACCCUCCAUUCUGUGGAUCAGUAUCUCAACAUCAAACUAACUGACAUCAGUGUCACAGACCCUGAAAAAUAUCCUCACAUGUUAUCAGUGAAGAACUGCUUCCUCUGGGGUUCAGUGGUCCACUACAUGCAGUUGCCAGCAGACAAGGUUGACACACAGUUGCUGCAGGAUGCAGCAAGGAAGGAAGCUCUGAGCAGAAACAGUGAUUACUCCUCUUCCUCUACCUCCUCUUUCAUUGAUGACCAGUAACCUCAAGUCCCAGCACAGGCGACCCCUCCUCCCAAU